rnacentral:rRNA from 1 species
CACGGGGGGAGCAAGCGUUGUUCGGAAGCACUGGGCGUAAAGGGCGUGUAGGCGGUCAAGUAAGUGGAAUGUGAAAGCCCCCGGCUUACCCGGGGAUCUGCAUCCCAAACUGCUUGGCUUGAGUACGGGAGAGGAUAGGGGAAUUCCUGGUGUAGCGGUGAAAUGCGUAGAUAUCAGGAGGAACACCGGUGGCGAAGGCGGUUCUCUGGGCAUGUCCUGACGCUGAGGAGCGAAAGUGUGGGGAGCGAACAGG